GAUUUUUUCGUAACUCGGUGACAAUAUGUCUAUAAAAUAUUAUCCAUACGAAUAUUUUUCAUACAGAAAGUACAAGCAAUAACCUCAAUUCCCGUGCAUGCUGCGGUCACACUAAGCGAUUAAGUAUCGGCUAAAAAAAAAGAAUAAAACUUUUCAAUGAAAGAAACCGCGAAUUUAAUUCUGUUGGUGAUGACUCAAUCGAUACCAAUUGGCUGGCACUCCCGACAGCCUCCAACACUGUCCAUUCGUGGAAUUUAAUUAGAUUAAUCAAUUGAAAAUGUGUAAAGUUGUCCGUGGCUCAACUGGCAACAUGCCACUGAUCAAGCCAUCCUUUGGGGGAUAUGCAUUCCCAUUCCCAUUUACGGAUGAGGCAAGCCACAAACAAUCAAGAACGCCAGAACCCACAAAUGAUUGCUGCGGCUGCUUCCAAAGAUCGAUGCAAUUGCCCGGCUCUGGGUUCGGGUUUGUGCAGGGACCAAAGUAAGGGUUAAGACGCAGCUGCUUGACCAGAGAGGACGGCAAUGCCAAUUUCGGGCCUGGCAGAAAGGACAGCAGCUGCUUCCCAGGGGUCACACGCGUGGAUACCUUGCUCGGCAUUGAGGGGAGCUUUCGCCAGGAUCUGUACGUGUCCCAGUUGCGGGAUAGAAAACACUUGCCAUACCCAACAGAGCCAGCCCCAGCCCACGACACACUUUGAUAUUCUGAGAGAGU
rnacentral:sRNA from 1 species